CCAUCCUUAGAGGGGUUGUGGGGUGUGGCUGCUGUGUCACUUGUACAUCGGCAGGUGGCAGAGAGGAGAGAGAGGUUAUGUCUGUACUCGGUGUUAUGACCUCCGGAAA
rnacentral:snoRNA from 1 species